UAUAAUAAGGGAGCGUGACGCUUGACAAACUGAUAUACUCGCUCUCUCUCUUUAGCUUUCUUUACCAUGACUUAUUAUGAUGCGUUUUGAAUUCCAGUGGGACAGUAAGGUGUGUUUGGUUCAUUUUAAAAGAAAUGACGUCGUUUACAACGGCUAACGGGAGCUGGGAUGAAGUGAACAGGGAUUUGUUUUUGUAUCUUGAGCCGGAAGUGGAAGCUUCAUGGCAGUUGCGCGCUUGUUUAGGAGUUUAAAACAAGGCAAUUUCACAAAUGUGGACUUUUCUGUGUGUCGGGAAUGGGAGAUGAUGUCGGCUGCGUGAAUGUGGCCUCGAAUAAUAUGCUUAGUUUUACUGGAGAAAGCGUCGAUAAUGUCUCGGACGUGGUUGUUGAAGUUGGGACGCAAAGCUCUGAUUUUGGAGAGAAAGACGAAGAGACCAAGGAGCCGAGUGUGGACAAUGUUUUGGACUUUCAGUACUACAAAAACGAAAGCAGGGAUAAAGACACGUGUAGAACAACGUCACCGGUAGAAAUCCUGAAGAGAAAUUUUGGAAUACGUAAAACAUCUGUAACUGGUGGUGACGGUAACGUGGAAACCCCGAGAGAGUCGGACAAAGUCGACUCCAUGCUGGAGAACUUGGACCACAGAAGGAACCGAAGGACACGAUAUAGCAACUCUCUACACGACGAAGAGGAAAAUCCCAGAUCAGAAGUCCCAGAUCUCUUAACAUCCUUGGAAUUAGAAGAUCCAGAACUUCAUGUUUCUGGAGAAAACCAUGAUUCCACAAGCGCAGUUGAACAUCACCGAUCCAAAGAGCACGUCUACUGCACCGUAUACUGUAUAGCCAAUGACAACUAUAGGAAACCUUCAGAAACCACGCUGUCGUCGGAACAUGGAAGUCCGUCUCAGUCGGAUGUGUAUGUUUUACCUCAUACAGACUCCUCAAAUUCAGAUCCAGAACUUGAUCAUUUUCCAGAGAUGUACACGUUGAGCGACCUUGCAGAACCUCCAGUGUUGAACAAUGUUCUCUACGUGGGUAACUUUCCCUUACAGUGUCGCGUGUGUCUUGUUGUCAGAUCCAUCACUUCCCUGCACUGUUGCAAAAAGCCGGUGUGUGAAGAGUGUAUGAAAACAUACAUCACUUCUCAGGUUGUCUCAGGCCUUGCGGAGAUAGUGUGUCCGAUCCCUGAGUGCAGUGGGUACCUGGCUGAGAGCGUGGUGCUGGCCCACCUGGCCUCUGAGAAUGUGGCGAAGUAUAAGUACUUCCUGGAACUUGGCAGACUGGACUCGGGAACUAAGACCUGUCCAAAGUGUAGCUUGUUCACUUCACUGAAGGGACGCGGAGAGCCAACGCAAAGCAAAGUUGAGCCCAAGUACAAGAUCCAGUGCAGUAAGUGCGAGUUGGUGUGGUGUUUUAGAUGCCAUGCACCUUGGCAUGAGGGUUUGAAGUGCCGUGAGUACAGGAAGGGAGACAAGCUGCUGCAUAACUGGGCCAGCAUUAUUGAGCACGGACAGAGGAAUGCCCAGAAAUGCCCACGCUGCAAGGUCCAUAUCCAGAGAGUGGACGGGUGCGAUCACAUGACCUGCAGGCAGUGCAACACCAACUUCUGUUAUCGCUGUGGUGAGAAAUAUCGGCAGCUGCGCUUUUUCGGAGAUCACACCUCCAACCUGAGCGUGUUCGGCUGCAAGUACCGGUAUCUACCCGAGAAACCGCAUCUGCGUCGCUUCAUCCGUGGAUCGGUGUGCGCAGGUAAAGUGCUGGUGGCCCCAGUGCUCAUUGUGCUGGUGGUGGUGAUCGGAGCCUUGGCUCUGGUUAUAGGUCUGGUCGCAUUCCCCAUUUACUACAUCUGUAAGAAGAAUAAACACCCUAAUGGUAUGGGACGCUGGCUGUGCUGAGACUGCACUUCUCUCUCACACACACAUGCGCACUACACACUGAUAUGGAUGAUGGUCGAGUGAACUCUCUGUUGUUUUCCUUUACCUCCAACACACGGUUGGCUUCUCCAUCAAGGAUUUUCACAGCACAACAGCGUAUGUGAGAGUUCAUCCAGUUUACACACUUACCUGUAGACGGAAUUGACGCUUCAUGUGCGAGUCGUUCAUUCUUUUUACCACAUAGAAUGCUUUUAUCUGGAAGUUUCAAGUGAUUAUUCAGGGGAAAUGAGGGUGAUGGAUAUGUCAAUGUGUAUUCAGUUCAUACACACACACCCUGACCCAGCAUGUUGCACUGCACCUCUACUGGAAUUUUGCGCCAUCAUCAAAAGUGUGUGUGUGUGUGUGUCUGUGUGUGUGUGCAUUUAUUCGUUCGUUCCCACACUGAAGACAACAGCCGCUGCAGAUUAGCCAGGGAUCUAUGCCAAAUUCGGAUGCUGAGCAGACUUAAUGCCUGGGAGAUUAUCACCAUGCCAUUUGUAUCAGUCCUGAGGCCUUGUUUACCCCUCACAACAUGCAUCGUGUAUCUGCAGAUCCAUAUCCAAACUUGUCUGUGCUAUUACACUUGGUAUUUAUAUGCAUUCAGUGUUGGAGGUGCGAGGUGUAAUUGGGAAGCAGUUAGAGGUGAGGUUACACUUGCUUUUCUUUAGCCAGCAGGGGUGCCAGUAUUUAUGAUUUAGUUGUUGCAUGUUUGCAGACAGUUCACUGAAGGGGAAAGGACACAGGAUAUGGAAAAUCCGUGACCUCGAAACAAGAGGGCGAGGUUCAUCCUAUAGAAGUGAACCUCCAGUAUAUUUGCACACGUGUUCCGUAUCUGAACUUUGACACCAGUGAUGAGCGGCUGAUAUAAUGGCGAUGAAUAUCACAGACUCAUAUCCAGUGUUGUAUAUUACGCUCAGUGACUAUAACGUGUUUGUUACAAACAUUAACUCAAGAAAGGCACGGUGUCUGAGGCGAGACGAGGCGCUCGUAACACACCUUACCUACGGAGUUUCGGUGAUGACAAUCACACGUUUCCAUCUAACAUUCAAUCAGGCUGGAGAUUUUCAUGACACUUUUAUUCUCAGGGAGUGCAUUCGGACAUUCACACACAACUCUUUCACUCCUGCAAUGGUGUUUGUCAGAUCACAGCCUUGCUCUCGCAUCGAGAAUCAGAAACAAGGAAAAGGUCCAUGAACUUUUAUUUGAGACCUGCUGUUGCACUCUGCUGUGAGCCAAAGGCCCCGACUGGGUCACUUUCAGUGGUAUUACUGAUGUAUUUCUGAUGUAUCUUUUAUCCUUUUGUGCCUUUUAAUAUGCUGUAAAUGGGAUCGUUUUAGAGGGAUUUUUUUAAAAAAAAACUUAUUUGAAUUUUGAGUCGCAUUUGUCAUGAGUGCAUGCACACUUUCCAAAUGAUCCUGUGGUACAUGUAUGAGACCACUGCACAAUCCAUUUUUUUUUUAAAUAAUUAACAAUUUUGGUAUGAAUACACCUUAUAUGUAUGUUUUUUUUUUUUGUUUGUUUUUUUUCUUGAUUUUGUUUUGUACCUCCCCAAAUCCUCUUACAAUGCUUAAUCUUGUAUGCUGCUGCACUUUAUCUUCAGAGACUGACGUGUCAGUCAACUUCGGCAGACCAUGGUUACUACGUGUAAUUAAAAGGACCGGGGUGAAAUACAAAGAUUUGUUUAUUAAUCUUGACGGUGUGAUAAUAGUGACCCAAAUAUGUGGUUUUGGCCUUAAUGCUAAUAAUUAAAAAGACACAAUGCAACAAACACUGCAAGUAGAACA